rnacentral:rRNA from 1 species
AUACAAGCUGCGAAGGCAUCUUCAGCAGCUGGAAAGAACUUCGGUCAGGGAUGAGCUCGCGGCCUAUCAGCUAGUUGGUGAGGUAAUGGCUCACCAAGGCGUCGACGGGUAGCCGGCCUGAGAGGGUGACCGGCCACACUGGGACUGAGACACGGCCCAGACUCCUACGGGAGGCAGCAGUGGGGAAUAUUGCACAAUGGGCGAAAGCCUGAUGCAGCAACGCCGCGUGAGGGACGACGGCCUUCGGGUUGUAAACCUCUUUUAGCAGGGAAGAAGCGAAAGUGACGGUACCUGCAGAAAAAGCACCGGCUAACUACGUGCCAGCAGCCGCGGUAAUACGUAGGGUGCAAGCGUUAUCCGGAAUUAUUGGGCGUAAAGAGCUCGUAGGCGGUUUGUCGCGUCUGCUGUGAAACCCCGAGGCUCAACCUCGGGCCUGCAGUGGGUACGGGCAGACUAGAGUGCGGUAGGGGAGAUUGGAAUUCCUGGUGUAGCGGUGGAAUGCGCAGAUAUCAGGAGGAACACCGAUGGCGAAGGCAGAUCUCUGGGCCGUAACUGACGCUGAGGAGCGAAAGGGUGGGGAGCAAACAGGCUUAGAUACCCUGGUAGUCCACCCCGUAAACGUUGGGAACUAGUUGUGGGGUCCAUUCCACGGAUUCCGUGACGCAGCUAACGCAUUAAGUUCCCCGCCUGGGGAGUACGGCCGCAAGGCUAAAACUCAAAGGAAUUGACGGGGACCCGCACAAGCGGCGGAGCAUGCGGAUUAAUUCGAUGCAACGCGAAGAACCUUACCAAGGCUUGACAUAUACGAGAACGCUGCAGAAAUGUAGAACUCUUUGGACACUCGUAAACAGGUGGUGCAUGGUUGUCGUCAGCUCGUGUCGUGAGAUGUUGGGUUAAGUCCCGCAACGAGCGCAACCCUCGUUCUAUGUUGCCAGCACGUAAUGGUGGGAACUCAUGGGAUACUGCCGGGGUCAACUCGGAGGAAGGUGGGGAUGACGUCAAAUCAUCAUGCCCCUUAUGUCUUGGGCUUCACGCAUGCUACAAUGGCCGGUACAAAGGGCUGCAAUA